rnacentral:lncRNA from 1 species
ACACUAGUGAGGGGUUGUACAUGACUUUCCCCUUGGAAUGCAGUUAGCAAACUGGUGAGCCCAGAUGCAUGAUUUCAAACUGUAGAGAGGUGUGUCGCGCAGUGGGCGGCUCUGCUCAGUUGCCUUCCUCCUGGCCUUUGCCUCUCUCAUCUGUGAGCUCAGCAAAGCUCCCAGCCUUGACAGCCGCAGCCUCCUCAAGAUUCCCAGAAGCCUCCGCGUCGACCCUGGAACGUUUGAACCUGCGGUCGGGAUACUGGCUGUUGUCAAAAGGCAUUCGAUGGACGCAGAGGACGUGGGUCUUCAGGUUCCCCUUCUGCGAGGCACUGUAGGGACAGUAGUGACACUGGAAAGGCCUGUGACCUGUGGGGAAAGAAAGUGUCCAGUCAGCAGGGUGUCAUAUCUCAGUCACCACCCCUAUCCUGAGCUUUAAGACCAACACACCACCACCACCACUACCACCAACACCACCACCACCACCACCACCACCACCACCACCGUCUAUGACAUCACAGCCACUUAGCAGACUUAAAGGAGAAGGGGAAGGGAAGCAGCCCGUUAGACACAUUGAGUGAGAUUCAGACUCCCCUCCCAUUCUGACCAGAAUUUUUAGUCUUGACUUUCCAGAAGAGAGAACAGAAACCAUUCAAUAUCUAGAACCAUUUCAAGAAAACUAGAUAUUUACAGAACAAGAAACGAGGCAAACUAUUCCAUUUUUCACAUUUAUUUCUUGUGAGUGUGUAUAUACACAUACACACACCUGUGCCCUUAGACUUAUGCACACAUGUCACAGAUGUUAUACAUCCUGAACUCUUUAUUAAUGUCAGACCAAGCAUGAGGAGUAAAUGUGUCUGGAGGGUAAGGGAGACAGAUGCUGAAUAGCCCUGCUCUAAGCAACACUGUAAGGAAUGACUGUACUGCACAGCUUUAGAAGUUAGGAGAGUCAGAGUGGACAGAGGGACCACACGGAUCAGGUAAAGAAACAGUUGUGGUAUGCAACAGAUCUUGUCUGUCCUGUGAGCCUGGGAGCCUCUGAAGUAUCCAUACACUGCCACCUUCCAGCCUGUGCCACCCAGAAUGCACACCAUGUGGAGAAGAUCAAUCUGUGUGCUGCUGAGCAAGAACGCAGAGAACCAGCAGCAGGACUGGCCCACCAGCGUGAUGAUUGCCGCCUGUGUUUCUGCCACCUAGUUCUACCCUCGGGGCUUGGCCACCUUCCCAUAAAAACAGAGAAGGCCCUGAGUGGGAGAUGUGAGACUAGCAUUGCUUCUUAUUAUUAGCAUAUAUUAAUUGCAUAAGCUAAUUGAUUUCACGAUGAGAUUUUCAUAGUUUUGCAUCCUAUACUUUGAUCAUAUCCUCUGACUAUUAACCUCUCGUGUUCCCAACACGUCCUGCUGGCCACUGGUUCCCUUCCCGUCCUCAAAUACACCCCUUCUGUGUUCAUGAGAGAUAGAUACUACUGGAGACUAUCAUUUGUACGUGGGGUGCCUUUGUUCUUCUUCAUGCAGGAUGCGGGGGUCUAGACUGAGGGCUAAAUCAUGAUGUCACUGUAGUUUGGAUUUUAUCUGAGUGUGUCCCCCAGUGGCUCAUACAUUGUGAGCCCAGUACCUGGUGUGGCAAAGCUGAGAGGUGAUGGAAUCUUUAUGAGGCAAAGUCAUAUGGAAUUUGGUCUGGUUGUUGGGGAUGCUCUCCUUGGAAGGGCU